rnacentral:rRNA from 1 species
UACAGAGGGUGCGAGCGUUAAUCGGAAUUACUGGGCGUAAAGCGUGCGUAGACGGUUAUGUAAGUCGGGUGUGAAAGCCCCGGGCUCAACCUGGGAAUUGCAUUCGAGACUGCAUAGCUAGGAUGCGGAAGAGGGAAGUGGAAUUUCCGGUGUAGUGGUGAAAUGCGUAGAUAUCGGGAGGAACACCAGUGGCGAAGGCGACUACCUGGCCUGUUCUUGACGCUGAGGCGCGAAAGCUAGGGGAGCAAACGGG